UCGGGCGUGGUGUAUGGCGCGCGCUCCUCCUUCUCACGGCUGUAGGCCAUAACUUUUAAAGGGAGAGGACCAGGUUCAACUCCUGGCGCCCGAA